rnacentral:rRNA from 1 species
UACAGAGGGUGCAAGCGUUAAUCGGAAUUACUGGGCGUAAAGCGUGCGUAGCCGGUUAUGUAAGUCAGGUGUGAAAGCCCCGGGCUCAACCUGGGAAUUGCAUUUGAGACUGCAUAGCUAGGGUGCGGAAGAGGGAAGCGGAAUUUCCGGUGUAGCGGUGAAAUGCGUAGAUAUCGGAAGGAACAUCAGUGGCGAAAGCGGCUUCCUAGUCCAGCACCGACGUUCAGGCACGAAAGCGUGGGGAGCAAACAGG